AUCGUGAUUUAUAUUAUUUGUAAAUGUAAAGAGAAUCAUUAAUGAGAGUAUGUCAAGUAACGGUGAUUAGAGCGAUAAGUGGAUUCUACUGUGUCUCAGUUUAUCUGGAUUGAUUGAAAAUCUUGUAUCUGAUCCGGGAAUGGACUUUGCAGAAACCAUGAAAAAUAUUGUUGCCAAAGGUAUGCAGUCUGAAAUGGGGCCACCAGGUGGAGGAGCUGGUUUUCCUGGCACACCAAGUAGCAUUGGUUAUGUUACUGAAAAAAUGUACGCUUUAUUGCAAGCGUAUCUCCAAAAUAAAGGUUGGAAUCCAAGCAUCGAACUUCUACAAUGUUUUUCAGAAUUUAAGGAUGCAUCAAUGAUUCCAAGCGCUGCUUACUUGCAGAUGAUGGCGACAAGGAUAGCUUUGGACUCUCAAGGACGACUAGUUCUUAGAGAAAAUGGAAAAAUAAUAUUGCCCUAUGAACAUUUUGCAAAUGCUGUGAUGUUAAAGCAUACAAAUGGUCCACAUGGUUUACAUUUAGGGUUAGAAGGCACGGUUAGGGCUGUUAUGGAAUCGUACACUAUAGGACGAGAAUGUUUUGGUAUGGAAAAAGAAUUUAUAAUAGAAGUGGUACAAAAUUGUCCAAAUUCUGCUUGCAUUUAUUAUAAAAAUCAACUUGAGUUAUCAAAAAAAAUGGGACAUAUGACUCCAACUUAUAUUCAAGAUAAUGAGACAACAGCUUCUCUUUUACGUAGUAGAUUUCCUCAUAAUACAGAUUUUCAGGCAACUUUAAGCAAUGCUAAUCCAAAUACUCAUAUGGGAGGAGCGUCUGCAACAGAUUUGGCAGAAAUGAGAAGUGCUGGAAACCAAAUGAACCUUCAACGACCUCCAAGCCGUCCAUCAUUAAAUAUUCCACAUCGAUCUGUAUCACAAGAAAAGAAAGUAACUAGUGGGAAACAACACUAUGAAUCUCUAGUAUCAACUAUUUCAAUAUCUGAUCACAAAUUAACAGACUUUUUAAGAACAAAUUUAGAUAAUUUGGAUAAUCUCAGUGGACUUGGAUUAGGAAAUCUACAAGGAUUAGGAAAUGCAAACAAAGACUUGUUAGCUUUACAUAAUGGAGCUUGGCCAUUAGAGAAUGAAAAAGGAAAUCGCUCAUUUUCAAAUUCAGAAGGUGGGCAAGAAAAGAUAGUAAGGGCUUUUGCAGAAGUAAUGAAGAAUAUGGCAAGAAUGAAAGCUUGUGUGCGUCCUGCAAUGUGUAAACCUUAUGGAAAACAGUCAGAGGCUUUGCAGAAAACAUUGGUAGAUACAAUACAACUUGUACAAUCACUGCGAAGUUUCUUGCCACCACCACAUAUUCCUGUAUCGAGCUGGAAAAACGAAGACAAACAUCGAUUAGACCAUACGAGUACUCCUUACCUUCCACCAUUCAUUGCCUUAAAUACUGCUGGGGCCAAUUCCUUAGCGCAGGACACGAAGCAACGCUGAAAAGGUAGGACUCGGUUACUGCCCUUAAAUAGAGAAGCUACAUAGUAGUGGUUGACUAGUGUCUUCCUAAUGGCGGUCCAGGGCAGGAUGUUCAAGGUAUUGGCGAUAUCUAAUGAUACCGCCACGUACACCCACCGCAGGGUACUGCUGCCUCCGCGAGGGAAUUGGCCCCGCUUAAUUGCGUCGAUCGCAGAUCGUCUCUCAUGAAAGCCGUACUGGCAGACAGCCACAUCAGGAUCAACUGUGGACAGGUGCCAGUCGAGAGACUUUUGAGAUCGUGGUGGACGGACGCACUCGUGGGUUGCUCCGCGACAAAGAUUAACCUAUAAGAAGUGAAGUGCCGUUUAAAGGGUAUAGCCGGAUAAGGUCCUCCAACAACAUCGGUGGCGCAGCGGUGAAGGCGUCUGACUCGUAAACCACUGCAUACUCCCUUUGGCACAGGUUCGA
rnacentral:misc_RNA from 1 species